AAUACAGCAAGUCGAACGGAGAAUGUAGCAAUACGUUCUUAGUGGCGAACGGGUGAGUAACGCGUGGUGACCUGCCCCAAAGUGUGGGAUAACAGAUCGAAAGAUUUGCUAAUACCGCAUGUGGCUUCGGAAUUAGAACCCGACGACUAAAGGAGUAAUCCGCUUUGGGAGGGGCCUGCGUCCAUCAGCUAGUUGGUAGGGUAACGGCCUACCAAGGCUUCGACGGGUAAGGGACCUGAGAGGUGGUCCCUCACAAUGGAACUGAAACACGGUCCAUACACCUACGGGUGGCAGCAGUAGGAAUAUUGCUCAAUGGGCGAAAGCCUGAAGCAGCAACGCCGCGUGUGCGAUGAAGGCCUUGGGUCGUAAAGCACUUUUCUGGGAGAUGAGAAAGGACAGUAUCCCAGGAAUAAGCCUCGCUAACUACGUGCCAGCAGCCGCGGUAAAACGUAGGAGGCGAGCGUUAUCCGGAUUUACUGGCGUAAAGCGCGUGCAGGCGGUUCGGUAAGUUGGAUGUGAAAGCUCCCGGCUCAACUGGAGAGGUCGUUCAAUACUGCCGGACUAGAGGGCAGCAGAGGAAGGUGGAAUUCCCGGUGAGUGGUGAAAUGCGUAGAUAUCGGGAGGAACACCAGUGGCGAAGGCGGCCUUCUGGGCUUUCCUGACGCUCAGACGCGAAAGCUAGGGUAGCGAACGGGAUUAGAGACCCCGGUAGUCUAGCCGUAAACGAUGCAAACUUGGCGUCGGUGGGUUAAAAACCAUCGGUGCCGAAGCCACGCGAUAAGUUUGCCGCCUGGGGACUACGGCCGCAAGGUUAAAACUCAAAUGAAUUGACGGG
rnacentral:rRNA from 1 species